rnacentral:rRNA from 1 species
UGGGGAAUCUUGCGCAAUGGGCGACAGCCUGACGCAGCAACGCCGCGUGAGGGAAGAAGGCCUUCGGGUCGUAAACCUCUUUCAGGGGGACGAAGCUUUGCCGGUGAAUAGCCGUGUGAAGUGACGGUACCUCCACAAGCAGCCCCGGCUAACUACGUGCCAGCAGCCGCGGUAAUACGUAGGGGGCUAGCGUUGUCCGGAAUCAUUGGGCGUAAAGCGCGCGUAGGCGGCCAGAUAAGUCCGGUGUGAAAGUCAAAGGCUCAACCUUUGAAUGCCGCUGGAAACUGUCUGGCUAGAGUCCGGAAGGGCCGAGUGGAACUCCUGGUGUAGCGGUGAAAUGCGCAGAUAUCAGGAAGAACACCAAUGGCGAAGGCAGCUCGCUAGGACGGUACUGACGCUGAGGCGCGAAAGCGUGGGGAGCAAACAGGAUUAGAUACCCCAGUAGUCCCUGAGCGGGCUGGCAAGGCGCAU